rnacentral:rRNA from 1 species
AGAGUUUGAUCAUGGCUCAGAUUGAACGCUGGCGGCAUGCCUAACACAUGCAAGUCGAACGGCAGCACGGGUACUUGUACCUGGUGGCGAGUGGCGAACGGGUGAGUAACAUAUCGGAACGUAUCCAAUAAUGGGGGAUAACGAGUCGAAAGAUUCGCUAAUACCGCAUACGCCCUACGGGGGAAAGCUAGGGACCUUCGGGCCUGGCGUUAAUGGAGCGGCCGAUAUCUGAUUAGCUAGUUGGUGAGGUAAAGGCUCACCAAGGCGACGAUCAGUAGCUGGUCUGAGAGGACGACCAGCCACACUGGAACUGAGACACGGUCCAGACUCCUACGGGAGGCAGCAGUGGGGAAUUUUGGACAAUGGGGGCAACCCUGAUCCAGCCAUUCCGCGUGAGUGAAGAAGGCCUUCGGGUUGUAAAGCUCUUUCGCAAGGGAAGAAAACUUAUCCUCUAACAUAGGAUGAGGUUGACGGUACCUUGAUAAGAAGCACCGGCUAACUACGUGCCAGCAGCCGCGGUAAUACGUAGGGUGCGAGCGUUAAUCGGAAUUACUGGGCGUAAAGCGUGCGCAGGCUGUUUUGUAAGUCAGAUGUGAAAUCCCCGAGCUCAACUUGGGAACUGCGUUUGAAACUACAAGACUAGAAUAUGUCAGAGGGGGGUAGAAUUCCACGUGUAGCAGUGAAAUGCGUAGAGAUGUGGAGGAAUACCAAUGGCGAAGGCAGCCCCCUGGGAUAAUAUUGACGCUCAUGCACGAAAGCGUGGGGAGCAAACAGGAUUAGAUACCCCGGUAGUCC